GAUGAACGCUGGCGGCGUGCCUAACACAUGCAAGUCGUGCGAACAGACCCUUUGCUUGGUCCUCUGACGUUAGCGGCGGACGUGUGAGUAACACAUGCUUAACCUACCUAUAGGACUAGGCUAACUUCGGGAAACCAGUGCUAAUAACGUAUACUAUCUUCAACCGCAUGGUUCAAUAGUUAAAGCGGGUUUUGCUGGCACUUAUACCUGUAACCGUGCCGGUUUAGCUAGUUGGUAACGUAGCGGCUUACCAAGGCAACGAUGCGUAGCCGACCUGAGAGGGUGAUCGGCCACACUGGACCUGAGACACGGUCCAGACUCCUACGGGAGGCAGCAGUAGGGAAUCUUGCGCAAUGGGCGAAAGCCUGACGGAGCAACGCCGCGUGAGUGAUGAAGGUCUUCGGAUCGUAAAACUCUGUUAUUAGGGAAGAACAAAUGUGUAAGUAACUAUGCACGUCUUGACGGUACCUACUCAGAAAGCCACGGCUAACUACGUG
rnacentral:rRNA from 1 species